AAUGGGCCAUCCGGCCCUUUUCUUUUCUUCUUACCUGAAGAGGCAGUGCCUCUUCUCCUUAUUUUUCUCUUAUGGAUUUUUAUAGAAAAUCCUUGAUCUACGAAGAUCCAACGGUCCGAUCUUCGAUCCGACUUCGGUAACAUGAUCUACGAAGUCCGAUCUACGUUUCUACCAAUCGUUUUGAGAUUUUGGGUAGUUUGGAGUUGCUAGGAGCUUCCUGAGCAUUUGGUCUUUGCUUGGCGAAUUUUUGAUGAUGUCCAUUUGACUGCAGGUACACCUGACUUAGAGGAGGACCCCGUAGCUGCGUAUUUGGGAUAUUACGAUUGAAGCACACUGCGACAGUCGUAUUGAGUUGGACUAUGGAGUUCACUCUUUUGGGGUAUUUUGUAUAUGGCUCUUUUGUAUGGACCACAUGUAUAUUUAGAUGUGCUUUCCGUUAUGAGAUGUAACGUUAUGAUUAUUCUGCUGUUAGAUAUUACUCAAUAUGGAGCAUGUAUGUAUGUUGGCUGAGCGACACGUAGUCGUGCCACUGUGAUGACCCUUUUAUGUUUUAUAAAUAUUUUAUACAAAAAAAAAAAAAAAAAGUCGUCACAGGAUC